CGCACGAGUUCAGACUCGUGGCGAAUAGCUCAGUAACACGUGGCCAAACUACCCUUCGGAACACAAUACCCUCGGGAAACUGAGGCUAAUAGUGUAUACCAUACCACCACUGGAAUGAGUGGUAUGCCAAACGCUCCGGCGCCGAAGGAUGUGGCUGCGGCCGAUUAGGUAGACGGUGGGGUAACGGCCCACCGUGCCAAUAAUCGGUAUGGGUCAUGAGAGUGAGAACCCAGAGACGGAAUCUGAGACAAGAUUCCGGGCCCUACGGGGCGCAGCAGGCGCGAAACCUUUACACUGCACGACAGUGCGAUAGGGGGAUCCCAAGUGCACAGGCAUAGCGCCUGUGCUUUUCGGUACCGUAAGGUGGUACCAGAAUAAGGGCUGGGCAAGACCGGUGCCAGCCGCCGCGGUAAUACCGGCAGCCCAAGUGAUGGCCGAUCUUAUUGGGCCUAAAGCG
rnacentral:rRNA from 1 species